rnacentral:lncRNA from 1 species
CACAUUAAAUGCAUGGCUUAGAUUUUCCUUUCAAAUAGUUUGGCUAUGUAUAGGUUGUGCAGAGAACACACAUAGCUUGCAGUGGAGCAGUUUGAAAGCAUGACAUAAAAUAUAGUUUUCACACAUUGAAGACAUGACUUUCGUGUGAAAGGAGUCCAUAGCAUUUAACUCUUCAUCAACUGAUUUCCUCUAUAAAUAGAGGGGUACUUGAAGGAAUGAAAGCAUCGAAGCAGAAUUGAAAAUACAAAGCUUCUGUGUGUGUAGAAGUGUGUGAGAGCAAAAAUAGAUUUCAAGAUUAAGGAAACAUAGUAGCUCAAGAUUUAAAUCAGCAUAGUAACUUUAUUCUUCUUACAUCUUUGUUUCUUUGGUCUUUGUUUCUUAAAUCUUUGGUCCUUGAUAAGAGGGAGAAUAUGUUGAUGUCCCUCUGAGAUCCAACAGAUGAGGGAACCUUUUAGACACAGAGAAUUUAGGAACCCUAAUAUCCAUCAUUGUUUCAAAUACUUCUGAGAGAGUGAGAACCCACACAUACCUUUACACACGAAAAUGUAUCUCCUGACAUGAUUGACGUCGACGACCCUAAACACUAACCUGUGUAGAAACUCCGGUGUAAGGUUGCAACUCGACAGCUAGAGGGGAAUAAACCUAUACCUGUAAGAGAGUAAGACCCGAAACGUACAAACUUGUGUGAUCAUUAAGUGCAACAUGACAGUUGGUGACAAAUAAAACCUCAUUAACUCAUCACUUAGAUAUAAGAUGUAAAAUCAAUCUGAAUAAUGCUUGAUCAUUAAUUACUUCCCGCAAAUGAGUGAAGUGGAAUCGAAGAAUCAUAACCGCCACUAACAUUCUGCAAUCAAAACAGGUUAACACAUAAACACUUGCUCUACAGCAAACAAACUAAAUUGCAAAACCCUUUUUUUUUAUCUUUUAUUUCUUUAUUUUAUUGUUCUCAAAUAAGUAAC